rnacentral:lncRNA from 1 species
GUUGGAUCGCCGGCACCCCUACGGCGCAGCCGAAAAAUUUAAUAAUCGGCGACCCUAACCACGGAUCCAUGUGUGAGGAACGAAUCGGGGUGAAAAGGGUUACGAAAUUACCUAAUGCUGUUCUGAGUAGACAGCAACUUCUCAACAACGUGUAGUCUGAUCUACAGUCGAACUAAGCCGCAAUCUAUCGAGACUCCGACCUCUACGUGAACCACCCAGUUGACUACGAACGGAAGAAAUCCCCAAAACAGUUUUGAGAGUGAAUUUUCUUUGACGGCUGCUCGACCAAAACAAAGAAAAACGGGAUACUUAUAUCCUUAUUAUUUAUUUUUUA